rnacentral:rRNA from 1 species
CCUACGGGAGGCAGCAGUGAGGAAUAUUGGUCAAUGGGCGUAAGCCUGAACCAGCCAAGUCGCGUGAGGGAUGAAGGUCCUAUGGAUUGUAAACCUCUUUUAUAAGGGAGUAAAGUGUGGGACGUGUCCUAUUUUGUAUGGACCUUAUGAAUAAGGAUCGGCUAACUCCGUUCCAGCAGCCGCGGUAAUACGGAGGAACCGAGCGGUAUCCGGAUUUAUUGGGGUUAAAGGGUGCGGAGGCGGGCUUUUAAGUACGCGGUGAAAGUCUGUGGCCCAACCAUAGAAUUGCCGUUGAAACUGGCGUGCUUGAGUAUGCUUGAGGCAGGCGGAAUGCGUGGUGUAGCGGUGAAAUGCUUAGAUAUCACGCAGAACCCCGAUUGCGAAGGCAGCCUGCCGGGCCAUGACUGACGCUGAUGCACGAAAGCGUGGGGAUCGAACAGGAUUAGAUACCCUUGUAGUC